AGAGUUUGAUCCUGGCUCAGAUUGAACGCUGGCGGCAUGCUUUACACAUGCAAGUCGAACGGCAGCGGGGGCUUCGGCCUGCCGGCGAGUGGCGAACGGGUGAGUAAUGCAUCGGAGCGUGCCCAGUCAUGGGGGAUAACUACGCGAAAGCGUAGCUAAUACCGCAUACGCCCUGAGGGGGAAAGCGGGGGAUCGCAAGACCUCGCGUGAUUGGAGCGGCCGAUGUCGGAUUAGCUAGUUGGUGGGGUAAAGGCCUACCAAGGCGACGAUCCGUAGCGGGUCUGAGAGGAUGAUCCGCCACACUGGGACUGAGACACGGCCCAGACUCCUACGGGAGGCAGCAGUGGGGAAUUUUGGACAAUGGGGGCAACCCUGAUCCAGCCAUGCCGCGUGAGUGAAGAAGGCCUUCGGGUUGUAAAGCUCUUUCAGACGGAAAGAAAUCGGGCGGGUGA
rnacentral:rRNA from 1 species